rnacentral:rRNA from 1 species
ACUCCUACGGGAGGCAGCAGUGGGGAAUUUUACGCAAUGGGGGAAACCCUGACGUAGCGACACCGCGUGAGCGAAGAAGCCCUUUGGGGUGUAAAGCUCUGUCAGCUGGAACGAAAACAAUGACGGUACCAGCAGAGGAAGCAUCGGCUAACUACGUGCCAGCAGCCGCGGUAAGACGUAGGAUGCGAGCGUUGUCCGGAUUUAUUGGGCGUAAAGAGUUCGUAGGUGGUUUGUUAAGUUUGGUGUUAAAGAUCGGGGCUCAACCCUGGGACUGCACUGAAUACUGGCAGACUCGAGUGUGGUAGAGGCUAGUGGAAUUCCCAGUGUAGCGGUGAAAUGCGUAGAUAUUGGGAAGAACACCGGUGGCGUAGGCGACUAGCUGGGCCAUAACUGACGCUGAGGAACGAAAGCCAGGGGAGCGAAUGGGAUUAGAUACCCUUGUAGUCCC